rnacentral:lncRNA from 1 species
ACACAAUUCAUUCAUAACCUGAAAAGACUUGGCUUUGUGGUGUCCUGAAUCAAGAUGUAUUCAUUAGCAUCUGAAAGAAGUGUCUUAGUCAUUAGUGCAAAGAUUGGUAAAAACCAAUUUAGAUAUUUAAAAUACUGAGGACACUGUUCCACAUCCCCACCACCCACACCAGAAGUAAAACCAAAGCUUGUCUUACUCAGAGAUGUGAAGGUAUUGUUACCUGUUGACAAAAUCUCUGGAAAUAAUUAUCCCCCCUGGCAACCUUAGUCACUGUGACAAAAAAAAAGGAAGUUCUUUGGCCUUCCAGAUAUUUGAGAUGGUUCAUCCUGGAAUCACUUUGACUUUUCAGGCAUUUAAUUCAGGGAUCUGCCUAAGUGAUUCAUCUUUGGCCUUCUGGAUACUGGGCUUUGCUGUUGAGUGAAGGUAAAGUCAUUUUUCAUUUUGGUUAAAUUAUUUUUCUAAUAGUUUCUUUAAACAAGAUUUUGAAUCUUAUGGAAUCA